AAAUCACACCUGGAGUUGCAGCUAGCAAGAGAUGUUAAGAGUAACAAGAAGGGUUUCUUCAGUGGAGGAUCACCCCUUAGGCCAACCCCGAGAGCUACCCUGAAAAUAUGAUGAAAGGAGCACAGAGAGGGGAGACAAACACUGCCCAGAGUAGGGCUGAUUUACCUCAGGCCCGUCACCACCAGAGGAGGAAGUGCUAAAUCUGGCGAGAUGAAGGAGGUGUCUUGCUGUAGCAUGCAUUCUACAAGAUAUGUUUCCACCUCGGUUGUGUUUGUUAAAGAUGUCCCUGUGACAUACUGUACCUCAAAGUAGCACAUUGUAACCCCCAUAUUCAUCAUUCGUGUAUGGUUGUGAUAUUUCAUUCAAAGCAUGCUAUGUAAGAUCUCAUAGGAAAAGUUAUGACCUGCUGAAAACCAUUGUUCUGUCAAAAUGUGUUCUCAUUAGUGUGUAUAAAGUUAUGAGGCUUUGCUGUAUGGCUGUUAUCGAAAUAUGUUGUAAGUCUGGGAGUCGUCCAUUGCUAGUUCUCCAGUGACAACAAAGGAGGUGACCAACACCCAGGCAGGCGUUAAAUGACCAUUAAUCAGUAGCGGAGUUGUAAACAAGGGAUAUACAGUUCUGUAAGAGAGUUGCGCAAGCAUCACACAAUAGGAGGAUUACUCAACUCUGUAACUCAGCAAGGCCCACCAGUACAUGUCUGGGCUAGUAUUUUCCAGGCACAUGAACUGAGGGUAUAAAAUAAGGGAUAGUGGCAUCAUGCUUUUACCUUUCUCCUCCUCCACCUACGCUGAAAGCAACAAGAAUGCUGGGAAGACUAAGACCUAAACUGAGGAGACUGGUCCCAGGCUUAAAGGGAAAGCCUGUGUAUAAAGGACUGUAACCUACCUACAACCAGGGCCGGAUUUCCAGUUAGGCACAGUAGGCACAUACCUAAGGGCGCUCGCAUUCUAGGAGUGCCUAAAAGUUAAAAGUGGGUUAAAAGUUUCAUUUUUUAAUGGAAAACACGAAAGCCAGCUGUAGACGGGGUAUGUGUGUGUGUGUGUGUGUGUGUGUGUUGUGUGUGUGAAGAUGCUAUGCUUAAGGGCGCAUAAGGUGUCAGUAUGGUCCUACCUGCAACAUUCAGUGGGGUGAGAAAAACUGCUUAAUCCAAAUAUUGCUUAGUCUAAUAAGGUGUAGGAUUUAGACUGCGUGCUUACCUUUUAUUUUCUUUGGUACUUUUUGGUCCUACCACUUAUAAUCACUUAAAAUCUAUCUUUCAGUAGUUAAACUUAUUAUAAUGUUUUAUCCUUACCAGUGAGUUUGUCUAAAGAAUUUAGGAAAUCUGCUUAUCUUACAAAGGCUGGUACAUGUCCACUUUCCUUUGAUGAAGUGGUGAACUAAUUAAAAAACUUGCAUUGCUCAAGAAAGGGUCUGGAGUGGUGCAAGAUGGUAUAUUCCCAGGGUGCAAAGGCUGGGGCCUUGGGAGAUUUGCUGGUGCCUUUCUCUGGGCGAUUCAUGAGUGGCUCAGGGAGCAUUCUUGCAAUUAGCUGGGUGUGGGGCUCCACAUGCUGUUGUGUUGAGUGAUCACAGCAGCACCUGGAGGGGUUUGCUGCUUGUCACUAGCAAACACAUUGUGAGAAACAGCCCAGGCUGGAGAGCUAAGGCGGCGCAGCGGUCCCACAGUUCCAGGUUGUACCUUGGGGAUCCCGUCACAGUCCCCAUCUCUGAAAUCUCCAGGGCAGCAGCCUGGGCCUCUGCCCAUACUUUCACAGAACACUAUGCAAUUACCCAAGACUCAGAUUCUGACGCUGUCUUCAGCUCCACUGUGCUAUCAGUAAUAGGCUCCACUCUGAAGCCCCAGCCCUCCAUGGGGCAUAAUGCUGUGGAGUCCUCUACAGUGGAGCACCCAUAGGGACACUACAGUAACUCCUUGCUUAACGUUGUAGUUAUGGUCCUGAAAAAUGCUACUUCAAGCGAAACGAUGUUAAGCGAAUCCAAUUUCCCCAUAAGAAUUAAGGUAAAUGGGGGGUUAGGGGAUUUUUUUUCGCCAGAUAAGACACCACACACACACACACACACACACACCUACACCCGUAUAAAUUUUAAACUAUUUAAUAUUGUACACAACAAUGAUGAUUGUGAAGCUUGGUAAAGGUGGUGGAGUCGCAGGGUGGGAUAUUUCCCAGGGAAUACCUUACUGCUAAAUGAUGAAGUAGCACUCGGCUGACCCCUCCAGGGAUAACACGUUGUUAAUGUAGCCUCACACUCUACAAGGCAGCACAAAUGGAGGGAGGAGACCCAACAUGGCAAUGGCUGCAAACAUUCUCUGUGGAAACUGAACGUGAUGAUGAACCCACGCUAUCCCACUGGAGCGCACCACUCCCUCCGCUUUCCAAAGUUCUGGGGGUGUAUGCAAGACAGACACAUGCACACAGUGUGUAUGAGAGACCAAGAGGGAGAGUGUGUGUGUGUGUGUGAGGGAGAGAGACGCAUUUCCCCUUUAAGUAUGCUGACCCCACUCUAAGUACACUGCCUUUUUAAGUACUGUAGAUAAGCAAGUUGAGACAGCAGCUGCUGCUAGCAAGCUCCCUCUGUCCUGCGCCCUGUCCUGUCGAGCCCUGCUCUGUAGAGCUGGGGGAGGGGGGAUACCCUGACAUCAGCACCCCUCUUCCCCCCCAUCCCCUGCACAGCAAGCAGGAGGCUACUAGGAGCAGUUCCAAGGCAGUGGGCAAGAGCAGUACAUGGCAGUGGAGGGAAGGACACCUGAACUGCCCGGCAAUUGAUAGCCUGCUGGGCGGCUGCCACACAGGGAACUUAGAGGAGCUGAUGGGGGCUGCUGGCCCACCCUGGUUCCAAGCCCCCACCAGGGAGCUCCAACAGGCUGCUCUUUCUGCAAGUAGUGGGCAAAGCAGGUGACUGCCAAACAACGUUAUAAGGGAGCAUUGAGCAACUUUAAACGAGCACGUUCUCUAAGUGAUCAGUAACAUAACAAAACAACGUUAACCGGGACGAUGUUAAGUGAGGAGUUACUGUACUUGAAGAAGAAAAGAAAGUUACUCCCUUGUGUAGUAACGAUGGUUCUUCGCAAUGUGUGUCCCUAUGGUGCUACAUAACCUGCCCUCUUCCCCUCUGCUUCGGCAUUCCCGUCAUGGGACUCUGCAAUAGUGAAGGAACUGGUUCCUUUUUGCUGAGGUGGAGGCCAUAUACAGCCUCAUCUCCCCCUACACCCUUACCUACCCAGCAUUUCAGUUCCAAUGGCUAUAUGAAGAAAGCUUAUUGCUAAAGCUUCUCUUUAAGAUGGAUUAAAUGCUUCUGAUUCUGGUGCUUGUUCGGUGGCUACAGGUACUGUAACCAUAGUUGAUACAAUGAUAGGGUAUGCAUUUUGAUUUACCACUCUGGUCUUCAGUAAUGGACAGUGAAAUACUGUCAUUUAUUUUAGCUCCACAACAGAAAAAACUCCAGGGGAAGUUUUUCAGGAAAAACUUAAUUGGUGGUCCCCAGUCUUGGCUAAAAUAUUUUACUGUCAUUAAUUAUACUGCAUGCAUUCUGUCUGGCUGGAAGUCUAGCAUCAUAGGUCCUAUUUUUUUAAAAGGGGGACAAAGAAUCCUGCUUCAUAAAGACCUACUAAUAUGUUAGAUGUGGCAGGGAAAAAUUAUUCCAGAUUUUUGCUAUCUAAACUUGAAAAUGGGCUUUGGAGGUUAUUUUAUUACAUGAAGGUCAGUCCAGCUUUAGGGCUGGUAGAGCCACAAUUGAUAAUUGUUUUAUUCUAUAUAAUUUAUAAAUACACUGUGGUUAAGGGUACUAGAUCAUAUGCUCCUUUCAUAGAUCUAAAGAUGGCAUUUGAUUCAAUUAGCUGAGACAGUCGUUGGGCAAAAUUAAGGAUGGGUAUUUGGUCUAAGACUUUUGCAUGUUUUGGUUGCUCUACUCCAGGGCAAUAUGGCUAAGGUGAGAUCAGAGGUGAGAACAGAGUUGCUCCAGCAUUAAUAAUUUCUAGCCGAAGUUUGGUUUAGGGGCCAAAUUUCAGCCUUAGAGAUUGUUCAAAAUAAUUUUUUGAGGAGACUUUUAAUUCUCUCAAAUUUUACCUUGGCCUUUUUUUUACAUGUCAAGGUGAGGGUUUUUUUCUGUAAGAAGUAGAGCUUGUAUUGCUUUUCUUAAAUAUUGGUCUAAGAUCUGCGCUCUUCCAAAUUAUAGAUUGCCACAUCUUUGCCUUCAGGAAAAUGGAAGAAUAACCUGUGUAUUCCUUAUUUCCAUGGUAUAAAACUCUUCAAUUUAUUAUUGCUACACUGGGUUUUUCUGUUACUUAUUGUUGAUAUAUUUAAUCAACAUAAUCAAUUACUCAGACGGAAACUGAGAUGUUACCCAACAACAAGCUCUGGCUGUGAUUCUAAAUUUACCUUUUGGUUUUCUACUUUGAAGACAGCUCAUGUUUUUGAACUGCAUUUGAAUGAGUUAUCAAAUUCUCAUUUAUGUAGGGCAUAUACUCACUUAAGAUUCCAAACUAUGGAAACUGCUGUCCUUCAAGGUAGAUGUGGAAAAGUUCCUUCACAUCUUUGUUUUUGCCCAAUUGUAGAACUGUCUAGCUUCUGAGAGCUAGAUUUUGGAUUUUACCUCUUUUUUUCUAUAAAAAAGAAUAUCACCAUCUCAAAAGAUAAUGGUUUUGGUAUUGUCUCAAUCCCCUGUUGUAAUUAAAUUGGUGGCAAUUUUUGGCCUUUUAGUAUUGUGCCAAAUAAGAAGAGGUUUUAUUAGGUUCUGAUGGAUAUUUUAAUGUAUUAUAUGGAUGCUGCUCUUCUUUUAGAUUGUGUAUGUUUUUCUUUGCAUUCACAAAAGGCAAUGUCAUAUGUGAUUUAAUAAAAUUGAAUUGAUUUGAAAAUACAGAUAUUGUGAUGCAACAUUCAUGGUUAUCUGCCUCAGGUUUACAAAAAGAAGAGCAAGCAACUAUUGAAUAAUUGCCAUUUGAGGUUCAGAAUCUGCUCAGUAAUAAGACUGAUUAAUCUCAGAUCAUUGGGUUUAUAUUCCCCUUAUUUCAAAAAGAAAUAACUCCAUCCUCAAUAUUCAUUGUCCAGAUAUAGGAAUGUUCAGUAUUCCUCUUGUUUUUCAUAGUAUCAACACCAGAGACCACCUGAACAAUUUUAUAUAGCGCUCUAGAGUUCAGAAGAAAUCUACUCCACUAUGCUGUUCUGUAGCUGCUCAAUUGGGUCAGACACAGAAAUAUAAGCUUUGAUGCGAUGUUCAAGGAUCUGCUUGUAUACAGUGAUCAAUAUAUACCCUUUUACUCCACA